rnacentral:rRNA from 1 species
ACUGAACGCUGGCGGCAUGCCUUACACAUGCAAGUCGAACGGCAGCACGGGAGCAAUCCUGGUGGCGAGUGGCGAACGGGUGAGUAAAGUAUCGGAACGUGCCCAGUCGUGGGGGAUAACGUAGCGAAAGUUACGCUAAUAUCGCAUACGAUGUAUGGAUGAAAGGGGGGGAUCGAAAGACCUGGAGCGAUUGGAGGGGCCGAUAUCAGAUUAGGUAGUUGGGGGGGUAAAGGCUCACCAAGCCGACGAUCUGUAGCUGGUCUGAGAGGACGACCAGCCACACUGGGACUGGGACACGGCCCAGACUCCUACGGGAGGCAGCAGUGGGGAAUUUUGGACAAUGGGCGCAAGCCUGAUCCAGCCAUGCCGCGUGCAGGAUGAAGGCCUUCGGGUUGUAAACUGCUUUUGUACGGAACGAAAAGGUUUGACUUAAUACGUUGGACUCAUGACGGUACCGUAAGAAUAAGCACCGGCUAACUACGUGCCAGCCGCCGCCGUAA